AUGUCCUACGGGAGGCAGCAGUGAGGAAUAUUGGUCAAUGGGCUUACGCCUGAACCAGCCAAGUCGCGUGAGUGAAGACUGCCCUAUGGGUUGUAAACCUCUUUUGUCAGGGAGCAACGCCGGCUACGUGUAGCCGGACUGAGAGUACCUGAAGAAAAAGCAUCGGCUAACUCCGUGCCAGCAGCCGCGGUAAUAAGGAGGAUGCGAGCGUUAUCCGGAUUUAUUGGGUUUAAAGGGUGCGUAGGCGGAAUGCCAAGUCAGCGGUAAGAUCGCGGGGCGCA
rnacentral:rRNA from 1 species